rnacentral:rRNA from 1 species
UACGUAGGUGGCAAGCGUUGUCCGGAAUUACUGGGUGUAAAGGGAGCGCAGGCGGGAAGCCAAGUCAGCUGUGAAAACUACGGGCUUAACUUGUAGACUGCAGUUGAAACUGGUUUUCUUGAGUGAAGUAGAGGUUGGCGGAAUUCCGAGUGUAGCGGUGAAAUGCGUAGAUAUUCGGAGGAACACCGGUGGCGAAGGCGGCCAACUGGGCUUUAACUGACGCUGAGGCGCGAAAGCGUGGGGAGCAAACAGG